AUGAUAUGGCGCAUUGGCAAUGGUGAAUCGGUCCGCAUCUGGCGUGAUAAUUGGAUACCACGCUCGUCCUCACUCAAGCCGUUUAGCGCUCGAGGCUGGUCCAGACUCAUCAGAGUUUCGAGCUUGCUUGACGAACGAGGUACAUGGGAUGUAGCUGCCGUGUGGGCCAACUUUCUACCGAUCGAUGCUAGGGCCAUUUUAUCCAUCCGUACCUCACCAAGACAUGAACCGGACUUUCUUGCCUGGCAGCCAGAGAAAACCGGUAUCUUCUCUGUUAAGAGUGCUUAUAAGCUUGGUCUCAGCUUGACAGAGCAUGCUCGUAAUGUGCCAACCACAAGUACUAGACCGAAUGGUGAUCGUGAGAUUUGGAAGAAGCUAUGGAGUUUGCCAGUUCCUCCUAAAUUCCGUACUUUUGCAUGGCGUGCAAUUAUUAAUUCAUUAGCAACAGAGGAGAACAAGAAAAAUCAUCAUAUCCCGGUCACCGGAGUGUGCACGAUUUGUGGGCAGGAACAAGAGGAUGUAAAGCACGCUCUUUAUUGCUGUCCGCCGGCUCGGGCUUUAUGGAACGCCAUGCGUGACGUUUGGGACCUUCCCUCACAUGCGAUUAUGGAGCGUCUACAAGCUGAGUGGAUACCGGAGCUCUUAUUCCCACGUACUGAUCAAGUCUGUGCUCGUAUCCUGAUGAUCCUCUGGAGAGUAUGGCAUGGACAUAAUGAGCUUACUCAUGACAAGCCUUUUCCAUCUGUAGAAGGAUCCCGACAGUUCUUAUGCAGUUACAUGGCAAGUUUAUCGCAGGUCAAGAACCAGACUACUGAGCAAAUUAUCAGAGGAAAAUGUGUAGUGAAUGGACCGGCCCCUGCUGUAGUUUCGCAUAUAACACAUGCUACAGCCAAUAGUUGGGAGAGACCACCUGCUGGCAUGCUGAAGCUGAAUAUUGAUGGGUCAUACAGUGAGAGUACAGGGGCGGCAGGGGCAGGUAUGAUUCUCCGUGAUGAUCAUGGACGAAUUGUUUUCUCUUCCUGUCGUUUUCGUAGUCGUUGCGGAUCAGCACUUGAGGCGGAACUAAGUGCAUGUAUGGAAGGCAUGUUCCUUGCACUGGAGUGGAGUCAGCAGGAUGUCGUUGUUGAAACAGAUUCCAUGGAGGUCGCUAAGAUGAUUAAUAAUCCAUCUCGAGAUAGCUCAGAGCUGGGUCAUCUAGUUGAGCACGUGAAGCAUCUCAUGAACCAAGGGAGGCGUUUUUUUGUCAACAAAAUCUCCAGGGAAUUGAACCAAGCGAGCGAUCUGCUUGCUCGCUUUGGUCGUCUAGAGGAACGAACAGUAGUUUGGUUAGGAUCGGGGCCUCAUGAAAAUUAG
rnacentral:rRNA from 1 species